rnacentral:tRNA from 1 species
GCCUGGGUGGCUCAGUCGGUUGAGCGUCCGACUUCGGCUCAGGUCAUGAUCUCACAGUCCGUGAGUUCGAGCCCCGCAUCAGGCU